UGUCCAGCAAUUCCCAAUGCUCCUUAUGUUUAUAUUCCUCUGACUUCUCCUUAUCCAUCAUGUUCACCUGGUAUUGCUUCCCACGGCUUCCAACCUGCACUUAUGCUCUGGUGAGCCCAGGCUGAAAGAGGACCUCCUGGAAGCCAGCCUUCAUGUGACAGGUCUAACAAUCCUGAGUUCACACUGCUGUGAGGAAGCAACAACAACGAAAAGAAUUGUAUUAGUAAUACUGGAAAAAUUUGUGUUUAAGAAGCACUUUCUUGAGGCACAAAGACAUUUUGCAAUGAUUGGAACAUUCCAACCACCAGACCAGAAAAGCCCUGAUAACAGUGGAAUGUCUAGAACAUCACAUCCAACAAGUCCCCUUUCCUGCCCAUGAUCAUGAGCUGAACAUCUACUGUCCUCCAUCCAUGAUUGUGAGCUCUUUGCCUGCUCUCUUGCACAUACUCCCCCUGAACACCCAUGUGCCCCAAAGAACUCAAAACGCAAUGUCAAUAAAGGUAGAAUGGAUUUAGAAAAUCAACAAUAG